AUUGACGAUGGAUCACCAGUGAGUGGCGGACGGGUGAGUAACACGUAGGUAACCUGCCCCGGAGCGGGGGAUAACAUUUGGAAACAGAUGCUAAUACCGCAUAACAACAAAAGCCACAUGGCUUUUGUUUGAAAGAUGGCUUUGGCUAUCACUCUGGGAUGGACCUGCGGUGCAUUAGCUAGUUGGUAAGGUAACGGCUUACCAAGGCGAUGAUGCAUAGCCGAGUUGAGAGACUGAUCGGCCACAAUGGAACUGAGACACGGUCCAUACUCCUACGGGAGGCAGCAGUAGGGGAUCUUCCACAAUGGGCGCAAGCCUGAUGGAGCAACACCGCGUGAGUGAAGAAGGGUUUCGGCUCGUAAAGCUCUGUUGUUGGAGAAGAACGUGCGUGAGAGUAACUGUUCACGCAGUGACGGUAUCCAACCAGAAAGUCACGGCUAACUACGUGCCAGCAGCCGCGGUAAUACGUAGGUGGCAAGCGUUAUCCGGAUUUAUUGGGCGUAAAGCGAGCGCAGGCGGUUGCUUAGGUCUGAUGUGAAAGCCUUCGGCUUAACCGAAGAAGUGCAUCGGAAACCGGGCGACUUGAGUGCAGAAUAGGACAGUGGAACUCCAUGUGUAGCGGUGGAAUGCGUAGAUAUAUGGAAGAACACCAGUGGCGAAGGCGGCUGUCUGGUCUGCAACUGACGCCGAGGCUCGAAAGCAUGG
rnacentral:rRNA from 1 species